rnacentral:rRNA from 1 species
UACGUAGGUGGCGAGCGUUAUCCGGAAUUAUUGGGCGUAAAGAGCGCGCAGGUGGUUGAUUAAGUCUGAUGUGAAAGCCCACGGCUUAACCGUGGAGGGUCAUUGGAAACUGGUCGACUUGAGUGCAGGAGAGGAAAGCGGAAUUCCUAGUGUAGCGGUGAAAUGCGUAGAUAUUAGGAGGAACACCAGUGGCGAAGGCGGCUUUCUGGACUGUAACUGACACUGAGGCACGAAAGCGUGUGGAGCAAACAGGAUUAGAUACCCU